rnacentral:rRNA from 1 species
AGUGGCGGACGGGUGAGUAACGCGUGGGUAACCUGCCUUAUACAGGGGGAUAACAGUCAGAAAUGGCUGCUAAUACCGCAUAAGCGCACAGAGCUGCAUGGCUCAGUGUGAAAAACUCCGGUGGUAUAAGAUGGACCCGCGUUGGAUUAGCUAGUUGGUGGGGUAACGGCCCACCAAGGCGACGAUCCAUAGCCGGCCUGAGAGGGUGAACGGCCACAUUGGGACUGAGACACGGCCCAAACUCCUACGGGAGGCAGCAGUGGGGAAUAUUGCACAAUGGGGGAAACCCUGAUGCAGCGACGCCGCGUGAAGGAAGAAGUAUCUCGGUAUGUAAACUUCUAUCAGCAGGGAAGAUAGUGACGGUACCUGACUAAGAAGCCCCGGCUAACUACGUGCCAGCAGCCGCGGUAAAACGUAGGUCACAAGCGUUGUCCGGAAUUACUGGGUGUAAAGGGAGCGCAGGCGGGAAGACAAGUUGGAAGUGAAAUCUAUGGGCUCAACCCAUAAACUGCUUUCAAAACUGUUUUUCUUGAGUAGUGCAGAGGUAGGCGGAAUUCCCGGUGUAGCGGUGGAAUGCGUAGAUAUCGGGAGGAACACCAGUGGCGAAGGCGGCCUACUGGGCACCAACUGACGCUGAGGCUCGAAAGUGUGGGUAGCAAACAGGAUUAGAUACCCUGGUAGUCCACACCGUAAACGAUGAUUACUAGGUGUUGGAGGAUUGACCCCUUCAGUGCCGCAGUUAACACAAUAAGUAAUCCACCUGGGGAGUACGACCGCAAGGUUGAAACUCAAAGGAAUUGACGGGGGCCCGCACAAGCAGUGGAGUAUGUGGUUUAAUUCGACGCAACGCGAAGAACCUUACCAAGUCUUGACAUCCCUUGACGAUGCUGGAAACAGUAUUUCUCUUCGGAGCAAGGAGACAGGUGGUGCAUGGUUGUCGUCAGCUCGUGUCGUGAGAUGUUGGGUUAAGUCCCGCAACGAGCGCAACCCUUAUGGUCAGUUACUACGCAAGAGGACUCUGGCCAGACUGCCGUUGACAAAACGGAGGAAGGUGGGGAUGACGUCAAAUCAUCAUGCCCUUUAUGACUUGGGCUACACACGUACUACAAUGGCGUUAAACAAAGAGAAGCAAGACCGCGAGGUGGAGCAAAACUCAGAAACAACGUCCCAGUUCGGACUGCAGGCUGCAACUCGCCUGCACGAAGUCGGAAUUGCUAGUAAUCGUGGAUCAGCAUGCCACGGUGAAUACGUUCCCGGGCCUUGCACACACCGCCCGUCA